rnacentral:misc_RNA from 1 species
CUUUUAAUGCCUAUAUAUAUAUAAUCUUCUUCCCAUUCCCAACACUCGCGCUAAAUUCUCCAAUGGCCCCUGCUCUGCUACUCCUUCCUCUGUUCUUCCUUAAUUUCCUUCUCUUGUUUUCAGCUGCAUAUUCGGCUACGUUUACAAUCACAAACAAGUGCAGCUACCAAGUUUGGCCAGGCUUACUUUCAAAUGCUGGCACUCCACAACUUUCCACCACAGGCUUCGCUCUUCAACCAGGUGAAUCAAACUCCAUCUCCGUGCCAGCCUCCUGGUCUGGCGUUUUAUGGGGUCGAACUUUGUGCACCCAAGAUGCCACCACUGGCAAAUUUACUUGCCUGACCGGUAACUGUGUCUCAGCCAACAUCCAAUGCUCCGGUGACGGUGCUAUUCCUCCUGCCACCCUUGCAGAAUUCACCCUCAAUGGAUCUUACGGGCUUGACUUCUACGAUGUCAGCCUUGUCAACGGAUACAACCUACCUAUCCUAAUAGCGCCACAAGGCGGAACCGGAGGUAAUUGUACAAUUACCGGAUGUGGUGUGGACUUGAACAAUGCAUGCCCGUCGGAGCUGAAGGUAAUGGACAGUGAAAACGGGGAGAGCGUGGCGUGUAAGAGUGCGUGCGACGCAUUAAAAGAGCCGCAAUAUUGCUGUACUGGGGCUUACAACAAUCCUAGUACAUGCAAGCCCAGCUCUUACUCUGAGUUCUUUAAAAAUGUUUGCCCUCAAGCUUAUACCUAUGCCUAUGAGGAUAGAACAAGCAUUUCUACUUGCGCUGGAGCCGACUAUGCCAUUACAUUUUGUCCUUCCCCUUCUGCUGCCAGGUAAAAUUUCACUAGCUAUUCAUUCGUUAUUAAUUUAAAAUUUUUUGAUAUAUUAUUAAUUUAAAUUUUUAAUAUUUAAUUAUAUAAUCAAAUAUUUAUCUUACAAUCAACUUGUUUUUAAUUUAAAUUUUUAGUUAUUUAUAAUCUAUGUUAGUUGUCAUUUAAGAGGUCGGCAGUGCUUUACGAUGGGACCAUUCUCUAAGUUUGAUUCUCUGGUGAUGAAAUGGGCCGCGCGUCUCAUUUAUUGUCUUAUUAAAUAAAAAAAAGGUUUUGAUAAUAUGAAUUUGGUGACGGUGGUUGCAGUCCGAAAUCGGCAAAUGGGCAGUAUCUAGAAGCUCUGGAAGGCUCUGCCGGCACUCAUAGUACGUCACCCUAUCUGAUUGGCGGGGCCAUUACCAUUCUGGCGGCAAAUUGGCGGUUGUGGCAGCUGCUGUAUUGACCAUGCCGCACCACUUGCAAAACCCGCCUAACCUUUUCUUACCUGUACAAAUUGAACAAUCCUCUUGGCUCUUGCCUCCUGCAAGCGGAUGCAAUAUUCGCACCGCUUGAAGUGGGUCCUAACAAUUUGCGGCCCAGAUGAAGGAAUUGAAGAAUCGGCCUGGCCUGCAUAUUUCUCAGGUCAACUUGGAGAAAGCUUUUGGGAGUAGUUGCAGUGUAUUUUUGGAGCAAAGUUAUGAUGGAAAUGGGAACGCGUACAAUGGGCAAAAGGGUUGGCUGCGUCAGCAAUGACGUUUCUGAUUUGGAAAGAGACAUAGAAACAAGAAGUGCUGUCUUCAUUUUGCCUUAAUUUAAUAUUCCCAAUUGAUUUGAGGAUGUAAUAUUUUAGUGCUUUCGCAUACUAUGAAUGAAUAUCAAUUGGAUUGUUCAGACAAAAAAAAAAAAUCAAU